GACGAACUGUGCAAACGUUAUUCGGAAUCACUGGGCUUAAAGGGUGCGUAGGCGGUCUUGUAAGUAGGGUGUGAAAGCCCCCGGCUCAACCGGGGAACUGCGUCCUAAACUGCGAGGCUAGAGUGAGGUAGGGGUGUGUGGAACUUCCAGUGGAGCGGUGAAAUGUGUUGAUAUUGGAAGGAACGCCGGUGGCGAAAGCGACACACUGGACCUUGUCUGACGCUGAGGCACGAAAGCCAGGGGAGCAAACGGGG
rnacentral:rRNA from 1 species